rnacentral:rRNA from 1 species
GGUAGUCCGCACGAGCGCACCCUUGUCGUUAGUUGCCAUCAGGUAAUGCUGGGGACUCUAGCGAGACCGCUGGUGAAGAGCCAGAGGAAGGUGGGGAUGACGUCAAGUCCGCAUGGCCCUUAUGCCCUGGGCUGCACACGUGCUACAAUGGUCGGUACAGAGGGUUGCCAAACCGCAAGGUGGAGCGAAUCCCAAAAAGCCGGCCUCAGUUCGGAUUGGAGUCUGCAACUCGACUCCAUGAAGUCGGAGUCGCUAGUAAUCGCGGAUCAGCAUGCCGCGGUGAAUACGUUCCCGGCCCUUGUACACACCGCCCGUCACGCCAUGAAAGCUGGUAGCAUUCGAAGCCAGUCAACUAACCUUCGGGAGGUUGCUGUCGAAAAUGAGAUCAGCGAUUGGGGCGAAGUCGUAACAAGGUAGCCGUAGGGGAACCUGCGGCUGGAUCACCUCCUUU